rnacentral:pre_miRNA from 1 species
UCUUACGGAUGAGCAAAGAAAGUGGUUUCUUGAGAUGGAAACUACUCUUGGUGAAGAUGCUGAGAA